GGGUCAGUAGGUUGGUCGUGCCAACGGUACGUACUGGUCUCACUGAUUCCUCAUUCCUGAAGAACCGUAAUGCCAUUAAUUUGGUGUUGCGGGGAAACAGGACUGUUACUUUGAAAAAAUUAGAGUGUUUAAAGCAAGCUAACGCUUGAAUACAUUAGCAUGGAAUAAUGAAAUAGGACGAUCGAUCCUAUUUUGUUGGUUUCUAGGAUUGACGUA
rnacentral:rRNA from 1 species